AGCAGCGCCGCGGUAAUACGAAGGGUGCAAGCGUUGUCCGGAAUUAUUGGGCGUAAAGGGCUCGCAGGCGGUUUCUUAAGUCUGAUGUGAAAGCCCCCGGCUCAACCGGGGAUGGUCAUUGGAAACUGGGAAACUUGAGUGCAGAAGAGGAGAGUGGAAUUCCACGUGUAGCGGUGAAAUGCGUAGAGAUGUGGAGGAACACCAGUGGCGAAGGCGACUCUCUGGUCUGUAACUGACGCUGAGGAGCGAAAGCGUGGGGAGCGAACAGGAUUAGAUACCCCAGUAGUCCCUGUCUCUUAUACA
rnacentral:rRNA from 1 species